GUUAAGGUUCGGGGGAGGAAUCACUUGCUCUCGUUUACAUCACUCUGAAUUCAGACAACAAGCUGAAAAACAGGUCUUUGCUCAUUUACAGCCUCAAAUUUAGAACAUCUAACACGAGGUUUUGUGUGAAUGGUGAAGUCUGAGGGUCGGCAUUCCUACAAACCUCUCCACCAAUGAUUUACUCGGAUCGGCUGUUUUACUGAAAAAAGAAAAAAGAAAUGGAAAAUAUCAUUUCUGCCCUUCGUUCAGGGUCUUUGCUCCUGCGCAGAGGCCAAAGGUCAGGUCUAAACAGGACAAACGAGGCACGUGGUUCUACCGAAGAGUGACUCAGACGUACACAGGAUGUGACAGGACAGGCUAGAGACGCACAAAGAGAUAGACAGAGAGAGAUAAAUAAAAAGAAGAAGAAGGAGAAGAAAAGAAAGCUGUGG